UACGUAGGGUGCGAGCGUUGUCCGGAAUUAUUGGGCGUAAAGAGCUUGUAGGCGGUUUGUCGCGUCUGCUGUGAAAAUCCGGGGCUCAACCCCGGGCCUGCAGUGGGUACGGGCAGACUAGAGUGCGGUAGGGGAGACUGGAAUUCCUGGUGUAGCGGUGGAAUGCGCAGAUAUCAGGAGGAACACCAAUGGCGAAGGCAGAUCUCUGGGCCGUAACUGACGCUGAGGAGCGAAAGCAUGGGGAGCGAACAGG
rnacentral:rRNA from 1 species